rnacentral:rRNA from 2 species
GGUGUGAAUUGCAGAAUCCCGUGAACCAUCGAGUUUUUGAACGCAAGUUGCGCCCGAAGCCAUUCGGCUGAGGGCACGUCUGCCUGGGCGUCACGC